UUUAAGGUUUCGUUAUGUGUGUCAUUGAGGUUUAAUGUUUGUAUUGUAUGGGGUUAAGCUUGAUCUUGAAUUGAGAAAUUUUAGAUUCAAUGCUAUUUUGGGAAUUUUGUAUGUGCUUGAGUGUUUGAUGUUUGAACCGCCAACAAGGAAACGAAAGAGAUGUCAGACCCACUCAGUAUUUCUGUACGAUAUAUGAACUGAUCAUUUGUACAUAAUUUGUAUAUAGUAAUCUUAAGUUACUAUAUGGUGAUUGCUUGUAAUGUGUAAGUCUUCAACGUGUUAUUUCUUCUUCUUAACAGUUUACCGUUACGAAAAUUUGGUUUUACUCCUUCAACCAAAUUUUCGUAAAAUAAGCUGGGGUGUUAUGUAGCGAUCACGUGUAUCAGAAGUCAAAAUAACUUCCAAAUUCGGUAACCCAAGUUCCCUGUUGCAAAUAUGUGUUCACUUCUUCCAUUCCGUAGGAGGAAGAAUGAACACUAGGCGGCUAAAACGUACUAUCCGCUCGCGCACGCACGUUUUUCUCUUUCCCAAUCUGUCUCACGAUUGCACAAACUAGAGCAAGUGGUUGAGUUUCGGUCGCCGAACGGACCUCGUUGUCGUUGUCUUAUCAACCGCCCGAGCAGUAAAAACUAUGUGAACGCAAGUGAGGGUAUUGGCGCGUAAUGGUAUGAUGCAAAUGUUUCGAGAGGGAAUGAGAUAGCGAUUUAGAAUCAAUUGUCCAAGAAGUUCGUUUUUCGAAGUACGAGUUUUACUUCGGUAAAAUUACGUACUUCCGGGUAUCUAGAACCAAAAAUCGUUUAUCUGAGGGUUUUAGGAAUAGCUUCUCAUCCAUUUCAAUCUAGACCGUGAAAGAGGUUAGAGUGCGUGUUUUUUGAUUUUGUCCCGCGGUGUGUCGAAAGGUGUUGCGUUAAAGUCUAGAAGUAGGAAGUGCGGAUAAUUCGUGUGCGUUUGCUGAAAGUACAAAAAAGCCGUGCGACGGCUUUUAUUCUACCGUUUAGAUUGGCACUAUUCAUCGGCCCGCCACACCGCCCUUCGCCCACCGACGCGCUCUAGACCCACGCGCUAGUUUGGAAGAUUCUGCCGCUACAACCAAAUAAGGCAGAAGUGCGACGGUUUUACAUCGUUUGCUCAACUGAGCUGCACGUCACGACCAUCCGGUGUGUACGUAAUUUGUUGCUGGCAUCGUGUCCGGCGUACCGACAGUGCCAGCAGUUAUCUAAUCCCGUACGCAGGAAGUCAUCCGGCACAUCCUUAAUCGCCGCCUGCGCAGAUUCAUCACCGCCGGUGUAGAUUAAUCGCCGCCACCGCAUCGCCGCAUCAGGACAGUCAUCGCAGUAGUGCGAAUGUGAGUGGGCAAACAACGAAAAAGACUGUAAGUACACCUACCACAAAAUCCAUGCGCAUGGUGAAAGUUUAGCCGAUACACGCACCCGGCAAACUAAAGUUCGGCAACAUUAUGGCACGUUAGCCCGAUAGGAAAUAGCGAUCGCUCAUCCGCACACAGUAGGGAACAGAAAGAAUAUAGGCAACACCGUAGAAAAAUCCUAGGUUAAGUUUAUGAAAAUGCUAGAGAAUUAAAAUAUACCUAAUUAUGUUAAUUGUUGUUUCGGUAAAUCAUGUUGAGGUUAAAACUGUUGUGGUAGUCACGUUCCCA